GGAGUUAGCCGGUGCUUCUUCUGUGAGUGAUGUCCUUCCUGCCGGCUAUUAACCCGCAGGCCUUCUUCCUCACUGAAAGUGCUUUACAACCCGAAGGCCUUCUUCACACACGCGGCAUGGCUGGAUCAGGGUUGCCCCCAUUGUCCAAUAUUCCCCACUGCUGCCUCCCGUAGGAGUCUGGGCCGUGUCUCAGUCCCAGUGUGGCUGAUCAUCCUCUCAGACCAGCUACGGAUCGUCGCCUUGGUGAGCCGUUACCUCACCAACCAGCUAAUCCGACAUAGGCUCAUCCGAUAGCGCGAGGACCGAAGGUCCCCCGNUUUCCCCCGUAGGGCGUAUGCGGUAUUAGCCUGGGUUUCCCCAGGUUAUCCCCCACUACCGGGCAGAUUCCUAUGCAUUACUCACCCGUCCGCCGCUCGCCACCAGGGAGCAAGCUCCCCGUGCUGCCGCUCGACUUGCAUGUGUUAGGCCUGCCGCCAGCGUUCAAUCUGAGCCAGGAUCAAACUCUGA
rnacentral:rRNA from 1 species